UGAAGAUGACAGACUUUUCAAAUAUAUUUUUCUGAAUCAUAAAUGCUCAAUUUAUAGGCCAAAUGUGUGUUAUUUCACAAAGUAGCAACCCUGAAUAAAACACACAUUUCCAACAAUACUUUUACUAAAUUUUACACUGUUUCGCCUACAACAACAUUUUUGCUAAAUGAUGUACUGUUUCGCCUACAACAACAGUUCAAACGUGUUGCCUAUUUAUAAAAUCAAAAUACAAACUGCCUUCUAAUUUCAUAAAACAAUCUUCGCUUGCAUAUUUUCUUUUCAUUUUGAAACGCAUCCAUGAUGAUUAAUUACAACACAUUAUUCAUAUAGAUAAUAUGAAUAUAGUUGAACAAUUUUCUAACAAAACUUGUCCCCAUUCUGUCACUUAAGGAUGAAAAAUUAUUUAAUAAUUAUAUCUAAAAUUUUGAAGUAUUUUUAUGCUACUCCCUUUAUUGAAUAUGUCUAAGAGACAUUUAUUAAGUAUGCCAAAGGGACAAUUAUAUUUAUUUUUUUGAGUAUUGCAUUAGACCUACACACUAUAAAUUAAUCAAAUCUCAUUGAAUUUAGAAAAUAAAAAAGAUAAUAAUAUGCCUAAAACUCUCAAGUUUGUUUAUGCUAUAAUUUUACUUCUCUCCCUAGUUCUUCUUUCAAUGGGAAAUCUACGUAAAUUAUUUUCUCUCUUAAAAUGUUUUAUUUGUUAUUUUGUAAUUAUUACACAAUUAUUUAUCGUAUUUUACUAAUAUUUUAUCUUAUUUUUCAUUGCAGCGCUUAUGCCAUGUGAAACUGAUGACGAUUGUCCAAUGGAAAUGAGUAUCCCAUCGAUCCCAAAUAAAUUACUCUUUUUUAUGUGUUGGGAAAAAGAAUGUGUAUAUCGUAAGGUGUAAUAUUUCAUGAGCUUCCAUUUAAGAUUUAUGUUUCCCACCAAUAAUUGUAUUUUUUACAUAUUAUUAUUCUUAAACAUAGGUAUGAAUAUUAAGAGUAAUGUGAUUUAUGUUUCUUUUAUUUAGUACCAGAUGUAUACAAUACAACAUGAACCUAGUAUAAAUAUUACUCUUAAUAUUCAUACCUAUGUUUAAGACUUGAUAACACCUUAUCCAUGAUCCAUGAGAUGUGAUCAUCAAUCUAUAUACAUAAUAGUCUUAAUGCUUUAAUGUUAUCCCACUUCACAAUAAAGCUCCACUAUGGAUACUUUAAGAACAGUGUCCUUAUGUUUAAUGUGAUCUCAUGAUUAAGUCACACUUGAUACAUUAAACGGACUAUCUAUUCUAGGGACUUUAUUAGACAAACACAAUAAAGAAAAAGCCUUUUAUUAUUAAUAAAUAAUUCGAUACAAGUACCAAAAGUAUUGGCCUCUAGGGCUUACACCAACAAUCUCCCACUAGCACUGGAGUCAAUCAGGCAUACCCUUAAUGCCCAUAGAUCUAGUAUGGCCAUCAUGCUUCUGCUGUGCGAGAGGCUUUGUCAAUGGGUCAGCAAUAUUGUCAAGUGUAGGUACUCUGCAUAUUUUCAUAUCUCCUCAUGACCACUUUAAUAAUUAAUAAACUCUAUCUUAAUAAAUAUUUUCAAAAAUUAAAUAUAAAUUACACAAAUUUAUGACAUCGACACAAAGUUUUAUAUGUCUAAUGUUCACAAAAUUAUGUAUAUCUCUAAUGUCCACAAAAUAUUAUCAUGAGAAUGCAAUAUUCUUAUGUUUGAUUUAAUUUUUACAAAAUUAUAUCAAUGUAUAUUUUAUUUUCAUGAAUUUUUGUUACACACGGUUAUUCUAUUUUUAGUCCAAAAUUUAAAGUAUGAAAAUCUAAGAUUCUCAUAAAAAUAAAGUUCAACUAACUACAACUCCCCACUACUACUCGUCUUUAUUUAUUUAUUAUUUUAUUUUUAAUAAUUUUUAAAUUAAAUAAAUAUUAUAAACAUUCUUAAGAAAUUUAGUUUUUACUAAACACUUGGAUAUGACUAUAAUUCCAAAUAAUAAUAAGGAUGAGAAUAGGAUCUCAAGAAAUGUCACUUAACUUAAAACAAACAUACCUUAUGAGAAAUGAUUUUAAAAAAAUACCCGAAUUUAUAAUGUUGAUUCUUGAUACAGAAGUCUCGGUUGCGCCAUUGUUUGACAUAUUAUAAGAUUGUUAGAAAAUUUAUUUAAAUUUGAUGGAUCGAAGUUAUAAUUGUGAACGAAUCACUUUCCUUAUAGUAUUUCAAGCACUUUCAAAUUAUCUUAGAGUUUGUACGCAGAAAUACCCAUAAAGAUUCAACUUAUACUCGAGUUUGCACAAGAUCGAUGAAAACUUGAAUUUAUGGAAGAUAAAAUCUGGAAUUUUGUGUGAAGAUGAUAGACUUUUCGAAUAUAUUUUUCUGAAUCAUAAAUGCUCAAUUUAUAGGCCAAAUGUGUGUUAUUUCACAAAGUAGCAACCCUGAAUAAAACACACAUUUCCAACAAUACUUUUACUAAAUUUUACACUGUUUCGCCUACAACAACAUUUUUGCUAAAUGAUGUACUGUUUCGCCUACAACAACAGUUCAAACGUGUUGCCUAUUUAUAAAAUCAAAACACAAACUGCCUUCUAAUUUCAUAAAACAAUCUUCGCUUGCAUAUUUUCUUUUCAUUUUGAAACGCAUCCAUGAUGAUUAAUUACAACACAUUAUUCAUAUAGAUAAUAUGAAUAUAGUUGAACAAUUUUCUAACAAAACUUGUCCCCAUUCUGUCACUUAAGGAUGAAAAAUUAUUUAAUAAUUAUAUCUAAAAUUUUGAAGUAUUUUUAUGCUACUCCCUUUAUUGAAUAUGUCUAAGAGACAUUUAUUAAGUAUGCCAAAGGGACAAUUAUAUUUAUUUUUUUGAGUAUUGCAUUAGACCUACACACUAUAAAUUAAUCAAAUCUCAUUGAAUUUAGAAAAUAAAAAAGAUAAUAAUAUGCCUAAAACUCUCAAGUUUGUUUAUGCUAUAAUUUUACUUCUCUCCCUAGUUCUUCUUUCAAUGGGAAAUCUACGUAAAUUAUUUUCUCUCUUAAAAUGUUUUAUUUGUUAUUUUGUAAUUAUUACACAAUUAUUUAUCGUAUUUUACUAAUAUUUUAUCUUAUUUUUCAUUGCAGCGCUUAUGCCAUGUGAAACUGAUGACGAUUGUCCAAUGGAAAUGAGUAUCCCAUCGAUCCCAAAUAAAUUACUCUUUUUUAUGUGUUGGGAAAAAGAAUGUGUAUAUCGUAAGGUGUAAUAUUUCAUGAGCUUCCAUUUAAGAUUUAUGUUUCCCACCAAUAAUUGUAUUUUUUACAUAUUAUUAUUCUUAAACAUAGGUAUGAAUAUUAAGAGUAAUGUGAUUUAUGUUUCUUUUAUUUAGUACCAGAUGUAUACAAUACAACAUGAACCUAGUAUAAAUAUUACUCUUAAUAUUCAUACCUAUGUUUAAGACUUGAUAACUCCUUAUCCAUGAUCCAUGAGAUGUGAUCAUCAGUCUAUAUACAUAAUAGUCUUAAUGCUUUAAUGUUAUCCCACUUCACAAUAAAGCUCNACUUUUCA
rnacentral:lncRNA from 1 species